rnacentral:rRNA from 1 species
UAGGGAAUCUUCCACAAUGGACGCAAGUCUGAUGGAGCAACGCCGCGUGAGUGAAGAAGGUUUUCGGACCGUAAAGCUCUGUUGUUGGUGAAGAAGGAUAGAGGUAGUAACUGGCCUUUAUUUGACGGUAAUCAACCAGAAAGUCACGGCUAACUACGUGCCAGCAGCCGCGGUAAUACGUAGGUGGCAAGCGUUGUCCGGAUUUAUUGGGCGUAAAGCGAGCGCAGGCGGAAGAAUAAGUCUGAUGUGAAAGCCCUCGGCUUAACCGAGGAAUUGCAUCGGAAACUGUUUUCUUGAGUGCAGAAGAGGAGAGUAGAACUCCAUGUGUAGCGGUGGAAUGCGUAGAUAUAUGGAAGAAUACCAGUGGCGAAGGCGGCUCUCUGGUCUGCAACUGACGCUGAGGCUCGAAAGCAUGGGUAGCGAACAGGAUUAGAUACCCUGGUAGUCCAUGCCGUAAACGAUGAGUGCUAAGUGUUGGGAGGCUUCCGCCUCUCAGUGCUGCAGCUAACGCAUUAAGCACUCCGCCUGGGGAGUACGACCGCAAAGGU